UGUCUGUUUCAGGUUUUGCUGGGACACCAGGGUAUUUGUCUCCAGAGGUCCUGAGGAAAGAUCCAUAUGGCAAGCCUGUGGAUAUGUGGGCCUGUGGGGUGAUCCUCUAUAUUCUGCUGGUAGGGUACCCUCCGUUCUGGGAUGAGGACCAGCAUAGACUGUACCAGCAGAUAAAAGCUGGAGCUUA